CCACUUCCCCCUUUUGUUAAUUAAAACUAAGAAGUCGGAAUGGGAACGAGGUGCCCAGCUCCCGUGGAGAAAGCUUAAGGACACCACGCCAGUGUUUUCCUGCCUUCCUUCCGAGAUGGAAAGAGGAGCUCCUAGCUCACUUAAGCCGGGGUAGGGCUGGUUCUCCUUUCCGAGCCAAAAUCCCAGGCGAUGGUGAAUUAUGAACGUGCCACACCAUGAAGCUCUUGUGGCAGGUAACUGUGCACCACCACACCUGGAAUGCCAUCCUGCUCCCGGUCGUCUACCUCACGGCGCAAGUGUGGAUUCUGUGUGCAGCCAUCGCUGCUGCCGCCUCAGCCGGGCCCCAGAACUGCCCCUCUGUCUGCUCGUGCAGUAACCAGUUCAGCAAGGUGGUGUGCACCCGCCGGGGCCUCUCCGAGGUCCCGCAGGGUAUUCCCUCCAACACCCGGUACCUCAACCUCAUGGAGAACAACAUCCAGAUGAUCCAGGCCGACACCUUCCGCCACCUCCACCACCUGGAGGUCCUGCAGUUGGGCAGGAACUCCAUCCGGCAGAUUGAGGUGGGGGCCUUCAAUGGCCUGGCCAGCCUCAACACCCUGGAGCUGUUCGACAACUGGCUGACAGUCAUCCCUAGCGGGGCCUUUGAAUACCUGUCCAAGCUGCGGGAGCUCUGGCUUCGCAACAACCCCAUCGAAAGCAUCCCCUCUUACGCCUUCAACCGGGUGCCCUCCCUCAUGCGCCUGGACUUGGGGGAGCUCAAGAAGCUGGAGUAUAUCUCUGAGGGAGCUUUUGAGGGGCUGUUCAACCUCAAAUACCUGAACUUGGGCAUGUGCAACAUUAAAGACAUGCCCAAUCUCACCCCCCUGGUGGGGCUGGAGGAGCUGGAGAUGUCAGGGAACCACUUCCCUGAGAUCAGGCCUGGCUCCUUCCAUGGCCUGAGCUCCCUCAAGAAGCUCUGGGUCAUGAACUCACAGGUCAGCCUGAUUGAGCGGAAUGCUUUUGACGGGCUGGCUUCACUUGUGGAACUCAACUUGGCCCACAAUAACCUCUCUUCUUUGCCCCAUGACCUCUUUACCCCGCUGAGGUACCUGGUGGAGUUGCACUUACACCACAAUCCUUGGAACUGUGAUUGUGACAUUCUGUGGCUAGCCUGGUGGCUUCGAGAGUAUAUACCCACCAAUUCCACCUGCUGUGGCCGCUGUCAUGCUCCCAUGCACAUGCGAGGCCGCUACCUCGUGGAGGUGGACCAGGCCUCUUUCCAGUGCUCUGCCCCCUUCAUCAUGGAUGCGCCUCGAGACCUCAAUAUUUCUGAGGGUCGGAUGGCAGAACUUAAGUGUCGGACUCCCCCUAUGUCCUCCGUGAAGUGGUUGCUGCCCAAUGGGACAGUGCUCAGCCACGCCUCCCGCCACCCACGGAUCUCUGUCCUCAACGACGGCACCUUGAACUUUUCCCACGUGCUGCUUUCAGACACUGGGGUAUACACAUGCAUGGUGACCAAUGUGGCAGGCAACUCCAACGCCUCGGCCUACCUAAAUGUGAGCACGGCCGAGCUCAACACCUCCAACUACAGCUUCUUCACCACAGUAACAGUGGAGACCACGGAGAUCUCGCCUGAGGACACAACGCGAAAGUACAAGCCUGUUCCUACCACGUCCACUGGUUACCAGCCGGCAUAUACCACCUCUACCACGGUGCUCAUUCAGACCACCCGUGUGCCCAAGCAGGUGGCAGUACCCGCGACAGACACCACUGACAAGAUGCAGACCAGUCUGGAUGAAGUCAUGAAGACCACCAAGAUCAUAAUUGGCUGCUUUGUGGCAGUGACGCUGCUAGCUGCCGCCAUGUUGAUUGUCUUCUAUAAACUUCGUAAGCGGCACCAGCAGCGGAGUACAGUCACAGCCGCCCGGACUGUUGAGAUUAUCCAGGUGGACGAAGACAUCCCAGCAGCAACAACCGCAGCAGCAACAGCAGCUCCGUCCGGUGUAUCAGGUUUCUUCUGUUCUCAAGUUUCAGCUUGCUUUUCAAGUGGUUCAGAAUGAAGAUGCCUGGAUCUAGAUCUUACUAUGAUACAGCUUUAUUUGUAAAGAAGAAAAUAUGCUGGUGCUUGGCAGCCCUGCAGCAGAAUGUGGGAACACUCCACAGCAAUGAGAUGAAGAGCAGCUCCUCGGGCUUCCUCAGAGCCCCCUACGCAUGGGCAACGAGGAAGUGCAUUGUGUGGUUAGUGGCCCUGUCCAGCGCCAGGACUGAAACUAUGACGCCUCCUCAAGGCCAGCAGGAGAGUGAGCUUGCACAUGCUGCCCACACUGGACACCUAGUGUCUUCUAGUUCCCAUGUUAGUGCUAUUCAUUCAAAUUCCACACAAAGAGCCAGGCCCAAACUCUAACAGAUCCAGCCCAUCUGACUGGUGAAGCCUCAGGAAAACUUUUGAAAGAAACUCAAGGUGAGCAAUGACCUGGAGUUUCGGGAAGGGGGCAAACAGCUUUUCAAUGAUGAAGAAUGGUUUUAUUUAUUUAUUUUUUAAACCCAGUCAAAUCUGUUUGAAAGGGGUGGGGGAUUCCUGAGAUGGUUUCCACAGCAACCAGGAUUAAGUCUUACAGCAGCCUGCACUGUUCACCCUGGGGCUGCCCAUUACCAGAUUUCAAAGCAUUAACCUUUAAUUUCAAAUUACCAAACCAUUUACACUCCCUCUCCUGCAUCCAGGUUCUGCCAUUUUCUACUAUUAGUCUGAUAAAAUGGACUCCCCCACAGGGCUGGAGUGGUGGUGAGUAGCACAGUAGCUUGUCAACAUUACUACUAAGUGGCUGGUGGGAAAUGCCCACAGGUUGACAAGAUGGUGCUGAAUAAUCUAUACUGAAAUGUAUUCCUCUGGGAAAGCCACAAGAAGGGACUUAGAACUGAAGCAUUUGGGCACAACCAAUGAGACAGGUGCUGUUUUUGGAAAUAAUCCAACAGAGAAAAGCCAUCAGAUUUCUGGAAGCUUCCCAUUCCAGCCCCCAAUGCCCACCAGGUGGAAGGCAAGCCAGACAACCCUAAAUAGACUCAGACAGAAUGAGCUUUAAAGUAGGAGGGAAGGAGAAGGGCCCGAAAAGGAACACCUGGGGAAAAGCUCACAGGACUGAACUUCUCUAACACUCCACUGGCCUCAUUAGCUCUGCAUAAGACAGGCCUCACCUCUAUCCAGGAUGUUUUCUCCCCUUGUCUCAUCAGUAUUAAAACAUGAAAGCAUAAGAGUAAAAAGCACAAUAGAAGGCUUUAGAAUAGAAGAGUAGAAACACUAGUCAGAGAAUUCAGGAGGAAGGAAUCUCCUCACUGACCUACCCAUCCAAAGCCAAUCCACAGGCCUAUCAUCUAACAGCAAGGGUAAAUCAACAUCUAUCUUUUCUUGGCACAUAAAACCCAGUAGAUGGUAAGGGCUGAACACCCUAAUCAGGAGGGCUGCACCAUCCUCCGCAGUCCGACUGGCUCCAUAGAAGGUGAUGACACCACCAGGACUAUCUUUUCCUAGUUACAGGAGGCCCUAUAUAGGCUGGCACAUAAAUGCCAUAUGGGCCUUGCUGUCUCCCUCACCUCCAGGUCACCAGCAUCACACCAAGAUAUGCAGGCCAGUCUGAUGGAAAUAAUUAAUUAGGAAGCAGGAGAGCAAGAAUUCAUCUUUAAGUGUUUUAGCUCCAAGGUCUGUGACUGCCAUUAAACCAGGCCAAACAAAUCUUAUUUUUAGUGAUGACUUUAUUUAUUACUCUGGAAUGGGUACUGAACAAAUCAUAUUUCUCCCUCUUUUAUGCUGAAACACUCGAUUAUGUCAUGAAGUCUUUUAAUUCCUACUCCCAGUCUUCAGGUAUUGGCAUACUGAGGCUCUUAGCAUCUUUGUUCAUCCUCCUCUGAUCUGACCACCUGCAGUUUCCUGAUGUCCUUCCUAAAAGGAUGGGCCUCAGAUGGUACACCGUACACCAGGAAUGCAAUGACUUGGGCUGGGUCAGUACCUGGCUCCACUCCUGUCUGCAUUCUGUAUUUCUGAGUUCUGAACCAGCCUUUUUGACAGCAGUUACAUAUUUACUCUUAUUGUUUUAUAAAAUCUGAGCUGUUUUCAUUUGUACAGUAUUUAAGGCAUGUGUUGCUUACCCUUAUGCUUUUAAAACAUUUUUUUUCUUCAUGUCAAUACAUUUUUUACUCCAGCAGACACAAUUACUUUGCUUAAAGGCUGGAACUAUAUCAUGCAUUUCUGUAUUCCUAGCAUUGUGUCCACUGAAUAUUAAAAAAAAAUUAUUAAAUAACCAUGUAACUGAAUGACCCACAAGCAUGAAGAGGCUCAUUCUGGGGAUGAUUCAUGAUGUAAAGAUGAAAAUAAUCAGGGUGUAAUUGGAGGUUUCAUUCACAUGACCAGUGGGUGAUGGUGUGCCUGCAGAGAUGGGGAGCUGAAGGUGGAGCAGUGAACACUCAAUAGCAGGAGAGCUAACAGGGAGAUUUACACACCAAUACAAAAGUGGAGAGAAAAAUGAUUGAUGAAUAUGUCCAUUUCUUUUAGGCAGCUCUUCCUGAGAUCUGAUAUAGGUCAACUUCUUCUGCCUAGAUAAAUCAAACACAACCUGCCCAAAGAAAAAUGCAGCAGACCUUCUUGGAAAUUCAAAUGCCAUCGCCCGGAGGAAAACUUUUCCAUUCAACAAUUGUUAUUUGCUCUGUAUUCUUAUACUAUGUGGCCUAUGCUUUUGAUAACUGCUCUUUUGUAUUUCCUUGUUUACAUUUUUUUGUAUGGCCAUCUACACGACUAGACUCAAAGAUAUUUGAGGGAGAAGUUAUCCUACCAAUUUAUGUAUCAUCCAAAAUUUAACUACUGAAGACUACCUUUCUUAAUCUGCGCUUGUAAAAAUCUUGGACUCAUUAAAAAACACUCCCCAAAUCUGUUCAUUGUGUUAAUUCUUUCCUGUAAGUGACUCUCCAGGAUCCCCGGACAUGAACAUAAUUCUUAUAAUUCCUAUAAUGAUAUCUUUAAAAGUAAAGAACUAGAGCAGCUCCAGGAAAGUCUCAUGUUAAGCUGCCCAUUUCUAGUAAUGGGACCCGACAGAAAGUAGGCAGUGAAGACAGAAUCAAACUGGGAAGUCCCAAGAGAAAGAAUACCCCACUUUACAAAUAUCCAUUAAGUUGCAAUUCAAUUAAAGCAUCUGAAAGGAAUUCAUAAGUAUCAGCAGACCCUGUAAUUGCUUAAUUAAGGAUAGAAGCCUAGCAAACACAACCACAAUAACAGCCUGAUUCAUUAGCACCUCUGUGAUAGCAGAAUGGGAUUUCUCACUUAAACAUACAUUGGUUUUAAUUGUGUAAUUUAGUUAGGCACUGGUAAUCAAUGGGGACCCACAAUUCCUGGGACCAGGAGGUGAGGAGGCUAUUCCUGUUCACCUUCCCUUCCCUCCUCUCAUUAGAAGUUUUUGGUCUAUUGAAACAGGCAGUUGAUAUUCCAGUGAGGACUGGCUGGAGAAGAGAUCUUAAAGGAAAAGAAGGAAAAUAAGGAAAUGAGGAACUUCAUUCAAAGGCAUUCAGGGUGAAAGGACACACAGGCAAAGCUUUAGUUCACCAUGUACAAGCCCACUACCAUUUAUAAAAUCCUAGACACUUAGAACUUUUCUCAGUGCCUCCCUUGUCAUAAUCCAGCUCCAGAAAGGGAGAAGGAGAGGCGGAGGCAGAGGGAGAGGGAGAGGAGAAGGGAGAAGGGUUGGGAGAGGGAGAGGAAGGGGGAGGGAAAGAAAAAUGCUAAAAGGCAGGAAAACGGAAGUCUCAUUUUCUCGUCUUAUCUCAUACGAAUAGGUAACUGGUUAAUUGUAAGUCACCUGCUGUGAACCACAUGGGAACUCCCUGUCAAGUGGCUGCUGCCUUCUAGAUGGUUUGUACUAUGAGUUCCAUGCAAGGUGACUGGCAUCCAUUUCCUGCCUGCCUCACCCUGUAAUUCCUCAAACUUAUGGCGGUACCACCUUUAACACUAAGGAAAUGCAAACAUGGCAUGGUGGACUCACUCAGUGAGUUGGCAGAAGACUCCAAAUAUCUGAUAUAAGGCUCCUUAGAUCACUUUGCACUGAAAUCUCAAAUUAUUAUUCUCUUCCAAUUCAGGAGAAAAGUAUUUGGUUUGCAAGCACCAUGCCUUGAUACCUGCUACGCUUAUCCAACAGGGCUACUUCCUGAACUGUGCCUGCAGCAUGACCCUGAUACUUAAGAUCUAAUAAGGGAAUUACAAUAAGGACACUCAGUAUAAAGGUCAUAGUAAUAAGACAAACACUCCACACCCACUGGGGCUUUUAAGUAAAAACGUGAGGUCAUGUGUCAUGGUUCAUGCUUACAAUCCUAGCACUUUGGGAAACUAAGGCAAGAGGACUGCUUGAGGCCAGGAGCCUGAGACCAGCCUGGGCAAC